GGGGGGUAGUUUUGCACACCAGGACGCUCCUGCCUGUUUGUGUUUACGCCCAGAGAAGCCCCUCUUGGCAAGACGCUUGGAGGGGGCUCCAGAAGGCAGAGCUUGGAGAACGGCAUUUCGGAAGGCAGUGGGAGGGGAAGCCCUUCCUAAAGACGUCUCCUGCCCAGGAAAGACCAGCCACGCACCCUGCGCCCCAGCGGUAGGGAGCAGAUUCUACUGGUCCUUCCGUGUACCCAGCACUUCACGGAAGGAGUCCCAUUGAGUCCUUCAGACAGCCCUGUUGAUGUUACCCACAGUUUACGCGUGAAGAGACGGGCCUGCAGAGCGUGUCAGCAAGAAAGCACAGGAGUCAGAAAUGAAGCCUCCCUCCUGCCCCUGGGAAAUCUGACCUACGUCCAGCUCCAAAGGCUAUUUGGACAACGUAAGCUCCCCUGCCAUGUGUCAUGCCCUGGGGACAAAGAGGAGACCAUCUGUUUCAUCCCUGGGGGGUCCUGACAGAAAACCCUCUUGCAAAAGACAAGAAGGAAAUAUACCACCUGCUAACGGAAAUGGGAGUUGGACAGGUAGGAUUCAAGGUUUAUGUUGUUUCCUCCUUUUACCUAUUUUCCAACAUCUGUGCAGCAAGCAGGGUUGUGUUACUUUUAUUAAAAAAAGGGGGGGGGGGCGCCUGGCUGGCUCAGUCAGAAAGCAUGUGACUCUUGAU